UGCCUGUACCAUAACCGACACAGGUGGGUAAGUAGAGUAUACUAAGGGGCGCGAGAUAACUCUCUCUAAGGAACCCGGCAAAAUAACUCCGCAACCUCGGGAGAAGGAGUGCCUUAUUCUUAAGGUUGCAAUAACAAGAUCCAAGCAACUGUUUAUCAAAAACACAGGUCUCCGCUAAGUCGUAAGACGAUGUAUGGGGGCUGACGCCUGCCCAGUGCCAGAAGGUUAAAGAAGUCGGUUAGCAAUAGCAAAGCUGGUAACUGAAGCCCUGGUGAACGGCGGCCGUAACAAUAACGGUCCUAAGGUAGCGAAAUUCCUUGUCGGGUAAGUUCCGACCCGCACGAAAGGCGUAAUGAUUUGGAUGCUGUCUCGGAGAGGGGCUCGGUGAAAUAGACUUGUCUGUGAAGAUGCGGACUACCUGCACCAGGACAGAAAGACCCUAUGAAGCUUUACUGUAACUUGAAAUUGAAAUUGGACUUUAUUCGCGCAGUAUAGGUGGGAGGCGUUGAUUAUAAUCUUGUGGGAUUAUUGGAGCCAUCAGUGAGAUACCACUCUUGUAAUGUUAGAUUUCUAACUUUGAAUCAUUAUCUGGUCAAAGGACAGUUUCAGGCGGGCAGUUUGACUGGGGCGGUCGCCUCCUAAACGGUAACGGAGGCGUACAAAGGUUUCCUCUGAACGGUUAGAAAUCGUAUCUAGAGUGUAAAGGCAUAAGGAAGCUUGACUGUGAGACCUACAAGUCGAGCAGGGACGAAAGUCGGUCUUAGUGAUCUGACGGUACUGAGUGGAAAGGCCGUCACUCAACGGAUAAAAGUUACUCUAGGAUAACAGGCUGAUCUCCCCCAAGAGUUCACAUCGACGGGGAGGUUUGGCACCUCGAUGUCGGCUCAUCGCAUCCUGGGGCGGUAGUACGUCCCAAGGGUUGGGCUGUUCGCCCAUGAAAGCGGUACGCGAGCUGGGUUCAGAACGUCGUGAGACAGUUCGGUCCAUAUCCGGUGUAGGCGCUAGAAUAUUGAGAGGAGCCUUCUUUAGUACGAGAGGACCGAGAAGGACAUACCUCUGGUGUACCAGUUAUCGUGCCAACGGUAAACGCUGGGUAGCUAUGUAUGGAGUGGAUAACCGCUGAAAGCAUCUAAGUGGGAAGCCCACCUCAAGAUAAGUAUUCUCAUCACGUAAGUGAGUAAGGUCACGGUAAGACUAACCGUUUGAUAGGCAUUAAGUGUAAGUACAGUAAUGUAUGUGCUGAGAUGUCCUAAUAGACCGAGGAC
rnacentral:rRNA from 1 species